GACGAACGCUGGCGGCGUGCUUAACACAUGCAAGUCGAGCGGUAAGGCCCUUUCGGGGGUACACGAGCGGCGAACGGGUGAGUAACACGUGGGUGACCUGCCCUCAGCUCUGGGAUAAGCCCGGGAAACUGGGUCUAAUACCGGAUAUGACUCCAUGACGCAUGUUGUGGGGUGGAAAGCCUUGUGCGGCUGAGGAUGGGCCCGCGGCCUAUCAGCUUGUUGGUGGGGUGANGGCCUACCAAGGCGACGACGGGUAGCCGGCCUGAGAGGGCGACCGGCCACACUGGGACUGAGACACGGCCCAGACUCCUACGGGAGGCAGCAGUGGGGAAUCUUGCGCAAUGGGCGAAAGCCUGACGCAGCGACGCCGCGUGAGGGAUGACGGCCU
rnacentral:rRNA from 1 species